UGCGAGUCAUUGUAGCAAUACAAGGCAUACGGCUCAGUAACGCGUAGUCAACCUAACCUAUGGACGGGAAUAACCUCGGGAAACUGAGAAUAAUGCCCGAUAGAACAUUAUGCCUGGAAUGGUUUAUGUUCCAAAUGAUUUAUCGCCGUAGGAUGGGACUGCGGCCUAUCAGUUUGUUGGUGAGGUAAUGGCCCACCAAGACUAUUACAGGUACGGGCUCUGAGAGGAGUAGCCCGGAGAUGGGUACUGAGACACGGACCCAGGCCCUAUGGGGCGCAGCAGGCGAGAAAACUUUGCAAUGUGCGAAAGCACGACAAGGUUAAUCCGAGUGGUUUCUGCUAAAGAAACCUUUUGUCAGUCCUAGAAACACUGAUGAAUAAGGGGUGGGCAAGUUCUGGUGUCAGCCGCCGCGGUAAAACCAGCACCUCAAGUGGUCAGGAUGAUUAUUGGGCCUAAAGCAUCCGUAGCCGGCUCUGUAAGUUUUCGGUUAAAUCUGUACGCUCAACGUACAGGCUGCCGGGAAUACUGCAGAGCUAGGGAGUGGGAGAGGUAGACGGUACUCGGUUGGAAGGGGUAAAAUCCUUUGAUCUAUUGAUGACCACCUGUGGCGAAGGCGGUCUACCAGAACACGUCCGACGGUGAGGGAUGAAAGCUGGGGGAGCAAACCGGAUUAGAUACCCGGGUAGUCCCAGCUGUAAACUAUGCAAACUCAGUGAUGCAUUGGCUUGUGGCCAAUGCAGUGCUGCAGGGAAGCCGUUAAGUUUGCCGCCUGGGAAGUACGUACGCAAGUAUGAAACUUAAAGGAAUUGGCGGGGGAGCACCACAAGGGGUGAAGCCUGCGGUUC
rnacentral:rRNA from 1 species